AAUAUUUUUACUCAUUUAAGCAAUUUUUGUGCAGAUUUGUACGAGCAAGGUGGUAUUUUGGAGCAUUGUUAAAGCCACAUUGAAUGCCUUGCAGCCACGAUUGAAAUCUCAUAGCAAAAUCCGGGAGCGAAAAGAAAAACAAAGCGAUAUAAAUUAAUUUUUCGGAUUUUGACAGCUUUGCGCGGCUCUCUUCAAGCGAUAAGACGGAGGGGCAAACAAUGUCCGAUUGAGCUGAAAAUUUACAGGAGUCUUCAUAACUCGUUGAUCUUCAAUCUCACAAAAAAUGAGCUGAUUCAGACAUGUUUUGGUUGGGUUUUUGGUCUGACGAACAACAGUACAGAAGGCUGUCCAGCAACCCAUUUAAAUAGCCCAAUUAAUUUAUAUGGCAGCCCAUUUUGAGAUUUAAUCCAGCAGCCCAUGUUUCAUUUAGUUGAGCCCACUAUGGCUUAUUGUGUAACUUGGAAACGCAGCAAAUCAAGGGCACAAAAACAGUAGGGCAUCUUCAUUUUUUUGCCGGCAGAAGAAAAGAAGUGGGCGACGCCUCUUCUUGGGGUUUUUCUCCCUGAUUCUUCUUUCUUUAUUUUUGGAAAUUAAACACUAUUAUCAUUGAUAUCUUUAUCAUUGAUUUUAUUGUCUUGUGAUUCAUUUAUCUUUGUAAUUAGAUUAGGUUAAUUUUUGUAUUAAUACUUGGAUUAUGGAUGAAGUUUUUGAAGCAACAAGAAGUGACGAUUUCAAGAAGCUUUGUCAUCUUCGUUUCGUAAUCGGUAUUGGUAUAAUUUCUAUCCUUUUUAUUGUUAUUAUUAUUAUGUGUUAGUUUUUAUUUUCGAUAUUGGGUGAAUCUAUGGAACAAUUAAUUGAUUAGGAAUAGUUUUAUGUGGUUUUGAUGGCAUGCUAUGAAAUAUUUUCUAGUGAAACAUCUAUUGAUGUUCAUAUGUCUUUAAUCAUGAGUUUAGAUAUGUGAAUGUUUAAUUAGUUGGUUAAUUUCUUGAUUACGUAAUAGAUCUUCAAAUUAACAAGCAACAAAUGGUUUUUGUGAUUGUUUUUCUUUCACACAAUCAUGAAAAUAUUUUCUCCACCAUGGUAGUGAAAGCAUUUUGACUCCUCUUGGAUUUGGUGACUUUUAAAUCUUAAUGCUAGUUAAUUUUCAUUAAUUACAUGCUUUAUGGAAAUUAUGACUUUAACUAAGAAAAUGUGUUAUGAGCUUCUCUAACCAUUGUAUUAACUAAGAAAAGUCUAGGUGAUCUCAAGCUUCUUAGAUUGCUAUAGCCAAAUUAGUAUCCAUUAAACUCAUUGCACCACAAAAUUAUGAUGAUUAGUCAACUAAUUGAACUUGUGAUUUAUCCCGAUAUUGGAACGUUUUAUAUUAUAGAUUUUGUAUUUUUCCAUUUUUGUUAUUUUUAUAAAAUAGUUUUUUAUCGCAUUUAACAUUUGAAAACCCCCAUAUCAUUUUAUAUUUUUUUUUAUUUCGUAGAAACUAAAUGCAUAGAUUUGAUUCGAACCAAUCCAUGUGGAUUCGAUCCCUUUUACCGCUAUUACAAUUCAUUUUUGUAUGUCGUCGUAUUGAGGUUUUUUUUUAUUUGGUGGUCUCGACGCCCACCAGCUACUGCCCCUAACAACAUACGAAGGGCAACAUUUCAUCAACAACCAAUUUCAGGAGAUCAAAGCUACAAUUGUUACUAAGGUGUGGUAUCAGUUAUUCCUUUGCCUCAGACACCAAGUUGAACAUGAAAUAUGGAUCGCGGUCAAUGUCAUGUGGUGUUCAACUUUUUAGUAAGGUCUUAGAUGUCCAUCUUGACUACAUACUCCUAUCAAGUAGUUCAUGUUAUACCCAACGAUGACCCUUAUAACUGUCUUCAUUAUGAUUGUAGCAUAAUGAAGGUAGUAGCUCAGAUUUAUAUGAGGCUCUGUUCUAAAGUUCAUGGCCCUUCAAAAAUUCAAAUCUCCUAAAUAAACAGACUGACAGGAUCGGUCUUGGAGAGACGUGUCGAGCCGCAUCUUAACUUGUUGAGAAAAUUUCACGCUUAGAAAUCUCCAAUCACCAGAAUCUUGGAUUGAAGAUUUCUGGGGGCAAUUGUUGUAGGGAAUCAAGGCUUAACGGAAAAGAAAUAGACCAAGUCAAUAACACAUGGUCAAUACUUGAAGAACGUUGAAGACCUUCAAUAAAUUCGGGUCAAUAAAGGAUCAAAGAGAAUCCCAAUAUUCUCGAAAUUUUAGUUAUUAUCAUUAUGUAUAAAAAGACUAGUUGAUCAUAUUCACACAAACACAUUCACUUCUUCCUCUCUGAUUCUUUCGAAUCUUGAGCACAAUCACAUUUUUCUAAGAUCGGCUAACACAUGUAAUUAUUAUUAUUUAUUUAACAUAAGUUAAAAGGCAUGUGAUUUUAUCACCGCCUGAGGUUUUAUGCUGACGAUCUUAAAGGAUUAAGGGAUUUCCCCGUA